CUUCUUUCAGGAAAACAAAACAAAACACUGUUACCUACCCGGAUCUGCCUUCCAGCACAUUCGGUACAAACCCACCAGAACAAAUACUGAAAGUGUUAUUACAAUCAAAGCAAUAACCACCGGCAAAAUAAUACCUAAAAAGAAUUGGAGACAUUGUCAAUUAGAGUGGCUACUGAAUUUCACAGCGAUAGUUUGACUAUGGAAAUGAUGUUAGACAAAAACAAAUCCAAGCGAUUUUCUUAUUUGAGUUCAAAAUGGGUCGUAAAAGAAGCGCAGACAACUCACGAUAUAAACAAAGCAUUUGUCUCAGGAAUUGCUAACGAACAUACAGUGCAUUCAAGAAGUUCAAGAAGUUUUGCAAAGGAAAAGAGAUCCUUGUAGAUGAGGAGCAUAGUGGCCAGACAUCGGAAGUCCACAAUGACCAUUUGAGAGCAAUCAUUGAAGCUGUUUCUCUAACAACUACAUGAGAAGUUGCCAAAGAACUCAAACCUUGACGAUUCUACAGCCCUUUAGCAUUUGAAGCAAAUUGGAAAGCUGGGAAAAUCUCGCUAAGUGGGUGCCUCAUGAGCUGAGCGAAAAUUAAAAAAUCCUCGUUUUGAAGUGUCAUCUUCUCUUAUUCUACACGACAAACCAUUUCUUGAUCUGAUUGUGAUGUGCGACAAAAAGUGACAACUGGCAACAACUAGCUCAGUGGUUGGAGUGAGAAAAAGCUCCAAAGCACUUCCCAAAGCCAAACUUGCACCAAAUAAAGGUCAUGGUCACUGUUUGGUGGUCGGGUCCACUGCAGCUUUCUGAAUCUUCAGGCUUCAAAAGAUACUAUCAACAAAAUUAAAAGAUAACCUAUAGAAUGGGAAAAAUAUUUGCAAAUUAUCUAUCUUGUAAACUUCUAGUCUUGAAUGUAUACAGAACUCUUGCAACUCGACAAUAAGAGGACAAAUAGCCAAAUUUUUAAAAAGAUAGACAAAGAAUUUGAGCGGACAUUUUUCCAAGGACAAUACACAAAUGGCUACCAAACACAUGAAAUAUGUUCAACAUCAUUAAUCAUUAGAGAAAUAUAACUCAGAGUCACAAUGAGAUACCAGUUCACACCCACUGAGAUAAUUAUAAUUAAGACAGACAAGUGUUAGCUAGAAUAUAGAGAUAUUGGAACUCUUGUAUGUUGCUGGUGGAAAUGUAAUAUAGUACAGCUGCUUUGGAAAUCAGUUCCUUAAAAUGUUAAACAUAGAGUUAACCUGUGACUUAGCAAUUCGGCCUCAAGACAUAUACUUAAGAGAAAUGAAAAACGUAGGCAGACAAAAACUUGCACAUAAAUGUUCAUAGCAGCAUUAUUUAUAAUCAUUAGCAAGUAGAAACAAUGCAGAUGUUCAUCAAUUAAUAAACGGAUAAACAAAAUGUGGUAUAUCCAUACAAUGCAAUAUUAUUUAGUAAUAAAAAAGAAUGAACUACAGAUACAUGUUACAACAUGGAUGAACUUGAAAACUUUAUGCUAAGUGAGAGAAUCCAGACACAAAAGGUCAUAUAUUGUAUGAUUCCAUUUAUAUGAAAUGUCCAGAACAGGCAAAUCUAUAAAGGAGGUUAGUGGUUACCAGAAGCUGGGAGGGGGAUAUGGGAAGUGAUUGGUAAUUAAUACAGGUUUUCCUCUUGGGGAGAUUAAAAUGUGCUGAAAUUAAUAGUGGUGGUGGCUGUAAAAUCUUGUUAAAAUACUAAAAACUUCUGAAUUGUACACUUUAAAAGGGUGACUAUUAUGUUAUGUGAAUUAUAUAUUUUUUAAAAUUGUAGAAAAAUGAAUCAUUACUCACCUUCAUCUUUACUUGUUAAAAAAGUAGCUGUUGACAUCAGAGACAUUUUAAGUAAUUCAUUGGUGAUUGUUCCUAGUUUGAUAAAAUAGAUUAAAUUAUUAUUAAUCAUAAUCUCAUGUUAUCUGUCAAUAAAUAAAGUAAGUUAAAUCUAUAG
rnacentral:lncRNA from 10 species